rnacentral:rRNA from 1 species
UGGGGAAUUUUGGACAAUGGGCGCAAGCCUGAUCCAGCCAUUCCGCGUGCAGGAUGAAGGCCUUCGGGUUGUAAACUGCUUUUGUACGGAACGAAAAGGUUUUCUCUAAUACAGAGGGCUCAUGACGGUACCGUAAGAAUAAGCACCGGCUAACUACGUGCCAGCAGCCGCGGUAAUACGUAGGGUGCAAGCGUUAAUCGGAAUUACUGGGCGUAAAGCGUGCGCAGGCGGUGAUGUAAGACAGAUGUGA